rnacentral:rRNA from 1 species
GAUGAACGCUGGCGGCGUGCCUAAUACAUGCAAGUCGAGCGAACGGACGAGAAGCUUGCUUCUCUGAUGUUAGCGGCGGACGGGUGAGUAACACGUGGAUAACCUACCUAUAAGACUGGGAUAACUUCGGGAAGCCGGAGCUAAUACCGGAUAAUAUUUUGAACCGCAUGGUUCAAAAGUGAAAGACGGUCUUGCUGUCACUUAUAGAUGGAUCCGCGCUGCAUUAGCUAGUUGGUAAGGUAACGGCUUACCAAGGCAACGAUGCAUAGCCGACCUGAGAGGGUGAUCGGCCACACUGGAACUGAGACACGGUCCAGACUCCUACGGGAGGCAGCAGUAGGGAAUCUUCCGCAAUGGGCGAAAGCCUGACGGAGCAACGCCGCGUGAGUGAUGAAGGUCUUCGGAUCGUAAAACUCUGUUAUUAGGGAAGAACAUAUGUGUAAGUAACUGUUCACAUCUUGACGGUACCUAACCAGAAAGCCACGGCUAACUACGUG